CUUCGGAUGGCCCUGUUGCAGGACUAAAGACCGCUUUCUAAUCCAUUGAUCUUCGGAUUAAUAUUCAUAACAUCUGGCCUCAAAUCAGGUAGGACUACCCGCUGAACUUAAGCAUAUCAAUAAGCGGAGGAAAAGAAACUAACAAGGAUUCCCCUAGUAACGGCGAGUGAAGCGGGAAGAGCUCAAAUUUGAAAUCUGGUAGCCUUCGGUUGCCCGAGUUGUAAUCUAGAGAAGUGUUUUCCGCGUUGGCCCAUGUACAAGUCCCUUGGAACAGGGCGUCAUAGAGGGUGAGAAUCCCGUCCUUGACAUGGACCCCCAAUGCUUUGUGAUACACUUUCAACGAGUCGAGUUGUUUGGGAAUGCAGCUCAAAAUGGGUGGUGAAUUCCAUCUAAAGCUAAAUAUUGGCGAGAGACCGAUAGCGAACAAGUACCGUGAGGGAAAGAUGAAAAGCACUUUGGAAAGAGAGUUAAACAGUACGUGAAAUUGUUGAAAGGGAAACGAUUGAAGUCAGUCAUGCUCUUUGGAUUAAGCCGUUCUGCGGUGUAUUUCAUUGAGCGGGGUCAACAUCAGUUUUGAUCGCUGGAAAAGGGCAGGAGGAAGGUAGCACUCUCGGGUGAACUUAUAGCCUCUUGUCGUAUACAGUGAUUGGGACUGAGGAACGCAGCAUGCCUUUUGGCCGGGAUUCGUCC
rnacentral:rRNA from 1 species